rnacentral:rRNA from 1 species
CCAAUAGCGUAUAUUAAAGUUGUUGCAGUUAAAAAGCUCGUAGUUGAAUUUCGGGGUUAAUGGAUUGGUCAUGCCUCUGGUAUGUACUGGUCUCACUGAUUCCUCCUUCCUAAUGAACCAUAAUGCCAUUCAUUUGGUGUUUCGGGGAAUUUGGACUGUUACUUUGAAAAAAUUAGAGUGUUUAAAGCAAGCUAACGCUUGAAUACAUUAGCAUGGAAUAAUGAAAUAGGACAUUCGAUCCUAUUUUGUUGGUUUCUAGGAUUGACGUAAUGAUUAAUAGGGAUAGUUGGGGGCAUUAGUAUUCAAUUGUCAGAGGUGAAAUUCUUGGAUUUAUUGAAGACUAACUACUGCGAAAGCAUUUGCCAAGGAUGUUUUCAUUAAUCAAGAACGAAAGUUAGGGGAUCGAAGACGAUCAGAUACCGUCGUAGUCUUAACCAUAAACUAUGCCGACUAGGGAUCGGAUGAUGUUAAUUUUUUAAUGACUCGUUCGGCACCUUACG